rnacentral:rRNA from 1 species
CCUACGGGCGGCAGCAGUGAGGAAUAUUGGUCAAUGGGCUUACGCCUGAACCAGCCAAGUAGCGUGAAGGAUGACUGCCCUAUGGGUUGUAAACUUCUUUUAUAUGGGAAUAAAAUGUUCCACGUGUGGGAUUUUGUAUGUACCAUAUGAAUAAGGAUCGGCUAACUCCGUGCCAGCAGCCGCGGUAAUACGGAGGAUCCGAGCGUUAUCCGGAUUGAUUGGGUUUAAAGGGAGCGUAGGUGGAUUGUUAAGUCAGUUGUGAAAGUUUGCGGCUCAACCGUAAAAUUGCAGUUGAAACUGGCAGUCUUGAGUACAGUAGAGGUGGGCGGAAUUCGUGGUGUAGCGGUGAAAUGCUUAGAUAUCACGAAGAACUCCGAUUGCGAAGGCAGCUCACUGGACUGCAACUGACACUGAGGCUCGAAAGUGUGGGUAUCAAACAGGAUUAGAUACCCGGGUAGUC